rnacentral:rRNA from 1 species
CAAGUCGAACGGCAGCACGGGAGCAAUCCUGGUGGCGAGUGGCGAACGGGUGAGUAAUAUAUCGGAACGUGCCCAGUAGUGGGGGAUAGCCCGGCGAAAGCCGGACUAAUACCGCAUACGACCUGAGGGUGAAAGCGGGGGAUCGCAAGACCUCGCGCUAUUGGAGCGGCCGAUAUCAGAUUAGCUAGUUGGUGGGGUAAAGGCCUACCAAGGCUACGAUCUGUAGUUGGUCUGAGAGGACGACCAGCCACACUGGGACUGAGACACGGCCCAGACUCCUACGGGAGGCAGCAGUGGGGAAUUUUGGACAAUGGGCGCAAGCCUGAUCCAGCAAUGCCGCGUGCAGGAAGAAGGCCUUCGGGUUGUAAACUGCUUUUGUCAGGGAAGAAAUCUUCUGGGCUAAUACCCCGGGAGGAUGACGGUACCUGAAGAAUAAGCACCGGCUAACUACGUGCCAGCAGCCGCGGUAAUACGUAGGGUGCGAGCGUUAAUCGGAAUUACUGGGCGUAAAGCGUGCGCAGGCGGCUUUGCAAGACAGAUGUGAAAUCCCCGGGCUCAACCUGGGAACCGCAUUUGUGACUGCAAGGCUAGAGUACGGCAGAGGGGGAUGGAAUUCCGCGUGUAGCAGUGAAAUGCGUAGAUAUGCGGAGGAACACCAAUGGCGAAGGCAAUCCCCUGGGCCUGUACUGACGCUCAUGCACGAAAGUGUGGGGAGCAAACAGGAUUAGAUACC